CCUACGGGAGGCAGCAGUAAGGAAUAUUGGACAAUGCUCGCAAGAGUGAUCCAGCCAUGCCGCGUGCAGGAAGAAUGCCCUAUGGGUAGUAAACUGCUUUUGAACUAGAGAAAACCCCAGUACGUGUACUGGGCUGAUAGUAUAGUUAGAAUAAGCAUCGGCUAACUUCGUGCCAGCAGCCGCGGUAAGACGAAGGAUGCAAGCGUUAUCCGGAUUCAUUGGGUUUAAAGGGAGCGUAGGUGGACUGAUAAGUCAGUGGUGAAAUCUCCGAGCUUAACUCGGAAAUUGCCAUUGAUACUGUUGGUCUUGAGUACAGUUGCUGUGGGCGGAAUAUGACAUGUAGUGGUGAAAUACAUAGAGAUGUCAUAGAACACCGAUUGCGAAGGCAGCUCACAAAGCUGUAACUGACACUGAGGCUCGAAAGUGCGGGGAUCAAACAGGAUUAGAUACCCUGGUAGUCCGCACCGUAAACGAUGAUUACUCGCUGCUAGGGGGCAACCUUUAGUGGCUUAGCGAAAGCGAUAAGUAAUCCACCUGGGGAGUACGCCGGCAACGGUGAAACGUANAAGAGUAGUAGACGNGNGAGAGCGACGGAGCACGAGGAGGGUUAGAGG
rnacentral:rRNA from 1 species